rnacentral:misc_RNA from 1 species
UCGAUGCCUUACAUGCAGACCGACCUGUGAAUCUNUUUGAACACGUAGGGCUGGCUUGAGGUGUUCCACGCCUCGACCUCCCUUGAGGUAGGAGGGGGCCACGAGUGUGUUCCCCUACUUGCCCAAACACAAACCCCGGCGCUGAAUGCGCCAAGGAACUAAAUUUCGUUCAGUGCGCCCCCGUUGGCCCGGAGACGGUGCUCCUACGGGUGGUGUUUUGAAGCAUGACAC